rnacentral:lncRNA from 13 species
AUGUGCAGUCAGUCGGUGUUAAAGAGACUCCUGAUCAGCCAGACUAAAACACAGAUAAUGUCUUGGUGUAAAAGAUGGAGACUCCUGAUCAACCAGACUAAAACACAGAUAAUGUCUUGGUGUAAAAGAUGGAGACUCCUGAUCAACCAGACUAAAACACAGAUAAUGUCUUGGUGUAAAAGAUGGAGACUCCUGAUCAACCAGACUAAAACACAGAUAAUGUCUUGGUGUAAAAGAUGGAGACUCCUGAUCAGCCAGACUAAAACACAGAUAAUGUCUUGGUGUAAAAGAUGGAGACUCCUGAUCAACCAGACUAAAACACAGAUAAUGACUUGGAGACUCCUGAUCAACCAGACUAAAACACAGAUAAUGCAUUUGAGAAAAACAGUUACUAAGAGAAGUCUUUUUCAGUUUUGUUUUAGUGAAGACAUUGUUGAGUUUGCUAGCAAUUAUAAAUAUUUGGGUAUUUUAAUUGAUGAACACAUUACCUUUCAAAACAGAACAUCUGUCCUGGCCGACUCAGCAAGUAGAGCUCUUGGGGGAGUUAUAAGGAAGUACAAAAACCACUCAAAGAUAUUGAUUAUGCUACGUAUUCCAAACCGUAUCAGACAUGCGUGUGUCCUGUUCUGGACUAUUCAGCAGGAGGUACAAGACAACCUGUAACUAGAG